CAGGAAGCAGAAAGUAAGCCAGUUAGGUGAAUCUAUCCAUAUGUUGCCCAGUUAAUCCAUUUUUUUUCUGCCGAAUGUUGCUGCAUGUGGCUCCUCCACCCACGAGAACUGUGGAUAUCUUUCACAUCGCUUUCUCCACAACUUGGAAAGAAGAAUGGGAAGUGAAGGUUCGCCAUCAACACUGGAGAGCCACCGAUUACAGCGUCUUGUGCGAGUUGCAGGAACAUCACAGCUUAAGGCAGGGAGUCAAAGUCAUGGAGAGGCAGGAGCAAACCGACAGUAAUCCGAGUAGGUGGGGGGCAAAAAGGCCCAAUCAAAGCAGCCCUGGCCCUGCAGCAAAAACAUCUCUUUUCAAGUUGGUCGCGGAGGAGACGUGAGGGAGGACAUGCUUGUUUUUUUUGUGUUUUCGGCAUGAAGGAGGAAUUCACAGGUUAAAAACUCCUAAGUUAUCCAGAAUAUUAGAAAGUUUGCAGUGCAAUACUAAACUAAACCUAUAGCUUCACCUCUCUGAGCAUUAUCAUUGUCAUAAUGCAACUUCUGGAUGCCAUUAGUGUAAGUGAGUGACUGUUUUUAUUUAUCAUUUAUCUAUCCAUUUUCUACCGCUUGUCCCUUUCGGGAUCGCGGGGUGUGCUGGAGCCUAUCCCAGCUGCAUUCCGACGGUAGGCAGGGUACAGCCUGGACAAGUCGCCACCUCAUCACAGGUCCAACACAGAGUGCUGAAGGUAUCCAAACAUGAUGGAGAUGGGAGUCCCGGUUGAUGCACCGGACCUUUGCUAUUCUUUCUUCCUGGCUUGGCAGAGUCACGCUGGCGUUCACAUGUCACCUGCAGCGACCGACUGCAACACACUGCCUCCUCUUCAGCCCUGCCUCCUUUUCUUUCUUAACUGAGAGAAGAAAGGCUGAGAAGACAAAGAAAGGGCCCGUGUCUCACAUCCCGAAGACUCAGUCUAGAUCAACUAUUUUAGGACGACAGCGGGCCGCCAAGGGAAGACGGAGGCACGCGGAAUGACAUUGCCGCUCCGCUCAACAGGGCGGCGACUUUCCGGAGGGGCUCCGCGCGGCGCCAGCGGCGGAGGGGCAGCGUCGGACCGCGAGCAGGACGGGACAAAAGGGCACACAUUGUAAAGUUGUGAGGAGAGAAGCUCGUCGUCAUCCAUGAAUGUGUGCGCGGAAGAAAAGCUCUGUCGUCCAAACUGAGGAAGGACUGCAUUUUAAGU